AAGAAUCACGAUGAGGCAUGAAUCAGUCAUUUCAGUUACAAUCGCUUAUUAAUAUUUUUCAGUCACGUGUUCUAACACAUGUAGCAAGCAAUCAGCUAAAAUUUCUUCAGUUACAUACAAAAUGGCAUUCAUGGGCAGCCUUAAAUCAGAAUAAAAGGGGACAAAUUGAUGCAAUAAAACCAACCAAUAAAUAUCCAUUCUUUCAGUUAUUAAUCAACAAAUAGAGAAUACCAAAAAAUCAGAAUUGUGUCAGAUAUUCAAAACCAUUUAGGCAACUCUGAAGCAGUCACCAGAAUGCCAUGAGCAGUUACGAAUC
rnacentral:lncRNA from 1 species